UAGUUUGUUUUGGUUUUUUUGCUUUGUUUCUUUGUUUCUCCCUAGAAUGAAAUUUCUACACAGCUGAUGGCCCAUCGGUGGAGUCCCAGUGGCCCAUCAGUGGCAUCUCAGUGGCCUGUCAGUGGUGUCCCAGAGCUGAGCACCUUCACCCUUUACUGGAGUGUUCCACCUUCCUUUUUCAGUUUGUGUUGGCUUUCUCAAGGAUAGCGGUUCUAGCUUCCUUUUCCAUGCCCUGGGCAAGACAAGCGCUUCUCUGUAAGGCAACAGAAGCACUUGUUGUUUAUGAAGACUAUUUUAACUUACAAGGUAGAUUCUGUGGUGCCUCAUGCUGGUUCUUCAAAAGUAAUGGAGAGCUUGAAGGAAAUAGCUUGGAUACUGAAGUGAUAAGCACUGCAGAAAUGCCAGACACUAUAUAAACAACUAAACUCAGCCCCCG
rnacentral:lncRNA from 1 species